UACGGAGGGUGCAAGCGUUAAUCGGAAUUACUGGGCGUAAAGGGCGCGUAGGCGGCCUGUUAAGUCGGGUGUGAAAGCCCUGGGCUCAACCCAGGAAGUGCACUCGAAACUGGCGGGCUUGAAUAUGGAAGAGGGUCGCGGAAUUCCCGGUGUAGCGGUGAAAUGCGCAGAUAUCAGGAGGAACACCGGUGGCGAAGGCGGGUCUCUGGGCCGGAACUGACGCUGAGGAGCGAAAGCGUGGGGAGCGAACAGG
rnacentral:rRNA from 1 species